UACGAAGGGGGCUAGCGUUGCUCGGAAUCACUGGGCGUAAAGGGUGCGUAGGCGGAUACUUAAGUCAGGGGUGAAAUCCCGGGGCUCAACCCCGGAACUGCCUUUGAUACUGGGUAUCUCGAGUCCGGAAGAGGUGAGUGGAAUUCCGAGUGUAGAGGUGAAAUUCGUAGAUAUUCGGAGGAACGCCAGUGGCGAAGGCGGCUCACUGGUCCGGUACUGACGCUGAGGUGCGAAAGCGUGGGGAGCAAACAGG
rnacentral:rRNA from 1 species